CCGGGAGUAGUUUAUGUUGUCGAAAGCUGACGCAAGCUAGUUAAAUUAAUCUUAAAAUCACUUCAUACUGACGUUGUUGAGUACUACCCAAUGUGGGAGGAAACCCCAAGGCUGACCCAGAACUUCUUGUGAGUGCUGCAUCCCUUCUGGCCGGGAAACAUCCUGGAAUCCUCCAGGAGGAACAGAAGACUGUCACUGGGGGACGAGGAUGUCUGGGUCUCACCCCUUGAAAUGUUAUUUCUGCAUUGCCUUCAGAUCCGCGCGGAGAUAAAUGAGCCAGAUGUCUUCAAAGAGACGAUGUGCUUCAUCUACAGAAGCAAGACGCCCAACCUGCACAAGAUGGCCGAUGACCUGCUGGCUGCAGCUGACGAGGUGGACGAUUGGUUCAGGCCUUCUGGAUGGAGCAGAUGGCGACAGAGGGCCAGGAGGAGAUGACCUCUAACCUGGGAGCCAGACCCGACCCGAUCCACUGCGGGUUCCUGCAGCGAGUGUUAGCAUCAGGAUGAUUAAAAUAAUGCACUUUUGGGUUUGUUGUUUUAAAAAAGAAUCUAUUUCACUGUUUUAACUGGAUGAUACUGCAUGAGGUUAGUCCUCAGGACAUAAAUCAUUUAGCACAACAGUGUCCAAAAUGUGGCUCUGGGCCCAUUUGUGCACCUUGAAGUGAUUUAUUUUUUGGCGCUGAGCACAAAUCAAGAAUGGUAAAGUAUUUGGCCAACAAAAUAGAAAGCAACUGAUGAUCUAGAAACAUGAAGCAACAUUUAGCUUUAUAUUGUACAAAUCUAGAACUCAAACUAGAACAACUGGAACCAACAUCUAGUUUUAUACUUCACUAAUCUCCAAAUGUGGAGAACUAACAUUAAGUUUUAUCAGUCAAGAAUCCAGAGAAACCCCUACUAGUUUAUAAAUGAUCGACUACUUAUUCUUAUUCUUAUUAA